rnacentral:rRNA from 1 species
AUUGAACGCUGGCGGCAGGCCUAACACAUGCAAGUCGAGCGGCGCGGGGGAAGGGGGAGUAAUGCCGAGGAAUCAACCUGUUAGUGAGGGAGAACGCUCGGAACCGGGCGCUAUUGACACAUACUAUCAAGUCAGCCUCAGUCGGAUUAGCGAGUUGGUGGGGUAAAGGCCUACCAAGGCGACGAUCAGUAUCUGGACUGAGAGGAUGAUCAGUCACACUGGAACUGAGACACGGUCCAGACUCCUACGGGAGGCAGCAGUGGGGAAUAUUGGACAAUGGGCGAAAGCCUGAUCCAGCCAUGCCGCGUGUGUGAAGAAGGUCUUCGGAUUGUAAAGCACUUUAAGUUGGGAGGCGUUACCAACAGAAUAAGCACCGGCUAACUUCGUGCCAGCAGCCGCGGUAAUAC